rnacentral:lncRNA from 1 species
UUUUUAUUUUUUUUAAGAGAGCAAUGGAUAAAAAGUGCCUACAGGGUUGAAGUGUUUAAAUCCAUUUCAAAAUGAAAUGGAUUUGUGGAUAAAGUACCUGCUUUCUAUGAUGCAGACCUGCAUUUUAUCAAAUUGAUAUCCUACAUAAAGUAUAUCUAGUGGGACAGUUUAGCAAAUUUAUCUGUAUUAUCCCUCAUACAAGUUUGAUAUACAAAACCAGCACAGUACUAAAUGCCUACAUAUGUACGCAUGUAUAUACACACAUACAUGAGCUAGACUGGAUGGAAUGACAUUCCUUCUAUACCGAGAUUAAUAAUUAAUGAAUACGUACUUAAAUGGAAUUCAUGCAGAACAGUUUGUUUUGUCUUUUCCUCGUGUCAAAAAGAAGAAAUUCAGGAAAGGCAGACUACAACUGGACUUCACAGUGUAAAACAAGGCCUGGUUUAAAGCAGAUCAGAGCAAGAAAGCCACCAAUUAGCUAGUCAUCUCAAUGAACACUGAUACCCAUCCAUGCAAAGUCCUGGGAGCUUCAAGUGAUGCUGGCAAGCAUUGUGUUAUUCAUUGAUGAGCCAUGAAUUUGCUACUAUGUGUUGAGACACCAUGCUUCCAUCUAACACAUGCCUUAUGUAGAGACUGUCUCCUACAGUAACUUUCUACCAAGGGAUUCAUUUAACUUAAAUCUUCAGAAAUAAGUCGGUGUACAGAUUCCCAUUCUGCACUCCACGAACCCAUACGGAAACCUUCUGAUGAAAGCUAGCACUUACAGUUCAGACUCUUAAGGCUUAGAAACAUACAAGUGAACCAACUGACUCCAACAAGAGGGGUGGCAUGCGCCUUGAAUAAAGUCUACACAGUUCCCAUUUUCAGAAGCAUCCGACAUUAAAUUUUGUACUGCAGAGAAUUAUUUUGCUUUAAAUUACUUAUUUAGGGAAAGUAAUCUAUUUACAUCAAAGUUUAAAAUUUACAGCCAAAGUCAAAUCUGAAGUAGUCAGUUUGAAGUGGGAAUGAAUGAGAGAUCCAAGGCUCUGAAUAAAUAAUUUGGUUUACUGUCCUUUACAUACAAAACAUCAUUCAUCAUGUGAAAAACACCUUUGCAAAAGAGUAAACCCAUUUUGAACCUUUGCAUACACUUUUUUCAACAAACUG